AUAAAGUUAAACGAUCAGUCUGUGCAAGAAACUGAACAUUAUUUACAACAUUAUUACUUAUUUUUAUUAUUACUUGCGUUAUUGCCAAUAGGGUUUCUCUUUUCCGAGAACUGGUUCUUACAGACAGUUCCAUGAACUGGUUAAAUUCACUAGUUUGAAACUAGUUCAAACUGAACAUCACUCAUCAUUUGCCUGAGGCUCUGGAUUACAGGUAAUACAAUGCUGCUGACUUGCAUUUUAGCAAUCACCAAUGACCAUGGUCCCAGCUAAAAAUCUAAUGACUAUCCUACUGAAGAAAAAAAAGUCACCUACAUCUUGGACGACCUCAGAUGUGGCAUUAUGGGACUGGGCGCGCAUCAUUCAAAUCUGAAAUCCAGCCGACUGGAGCAGCGCGAGAAUGAUUGAAGAUUAGAGGCUUUAUUCAUAAUUCCUGGUGUGAAGAAUAGCAGCUGAUGUGGAGAAAUGUUUGAUGCUUCAAGACUCUGAAGCUGAUUAUAUUAGGUGAACCCAGUGGCUUUUGACUAUUUGAGGGUCAGAUGGUUGUGAAUUCAUACUUCAUCUUUGUGGCUGGAUUUGCAGUCUUAUUACAACUUCAGUCUGGCGUCCCGGGAGCAGACAUCUUUUGCACACUUGAGUUUUUUCAAAGAUAUUUUCUUGGAAUCACUACACUCACUGGAUACAAGACGGAUACAUAGAGGCAAAACAAGUGGAAAGGUCUCAGACAACCCUCAUGUGUGUGCUCAUCUCAGAAAGUUGAUGGACUUUCAGUAUGUAUUUAUUAAAUUGUCUUUUGCAGGAAUAUACUUAAUUUAAUAGAACAUAAGCUCAAAAAAAAG
ensembl:lncRNA